AGUGAACGCUGGCGGUAGGCCUAACACAUGCAAGUCGAACGGCAGCACAGUAAGAGCUUGCUCUUACGGGUGGCGAGUGGCGGACGGGUGAGGAAUACAUCGGAAUCUACUUUUUCGUGGGGGAUAACGUAGGGAAACUUACGCUAAUACCGCAUACGACCUACGGGUGAAAGCAGGGGAUCUUCGGACCUUGCGCGAGUGAAUGAGCCGAUGUCGGAUUAGCCAGUUGGCGGGGUAAAGGCCAACCAAGGCGACGAUCCGUAGCUGGUCUGAGAGGAUGAUCAGCCACACUGGAACUGAGACACGGUCCAGACUCCUACGGGAGGCAGCAGUGGGGAAUAUUGGACAAUGGGCGCAAGCCUGAUCCAGCCAUACCGCGUGGGUGAAGAAGGCCUUCGGGUUGUAAAGCCCUUUUGUUGGGAAAGAAAAGCAGCAGGUUAAUACCCCGCUGUUCUGACGGUACCCAAAGAAUAAGCACCGGCUAACUUCGUG
rnacentral:rRNA from 1 species